rnacentral:lncRNA from 1 species
CAGAUAGUCAUCCGACGGCUACGCUGAGUUUUGACAAAGAGGACGUAUUCACAGGAGACAGAGUUACACUGAGCUGUACUGUAGAGUCUCCUGGAUGGAAGAUUUACUGGUACAGACACAGACCAGACUCUACACCAGUAACCACAACCUCUGGAUACUCCUACACACUCAGCUGGGUCAGUGUCUCUGAUGGAGGACAGUACUGGUGCAGAGCUGGGAGAGGAGACCCAGUCUACUACACCCUGUACAGUGACACAGUCCAGAUAAACAUUACUGCUAUCCGAAGAUAAAUGCACUAACUAUGGUGAUGUGAUCCUGGAGAGCCCUGUCCAUCCCGUGACUGAAGGAGACUGUGUAUUUAAAUAUCAGGAAAUGAAUCCUA